GACGAACGCUGGCGGCGUGCUUAACACAUGCAAGUCGAACGGUAAGGCCCUUCGGGGUACACGAGUGGCGAACGGGUGAGUAACACGUGGGUGAUCUGCCCUGCACUUCGGGAUAAGCCUGGGAAACUGGGUCUAAUACCGGAUAGGACCACUGCCUGCAUGGGUGGUGGUGGAAAGCUUUUGCGGUGUGGGAUGGGCCCGCGGCCUAUCAGCUUGUUGGUGGGGUGAUGGCCUACCAAGGCGACGACGGGUAGCCGGCCUGAGAGGGUGACCGGCCACACUGGGACUGAGAUACGGCCCAGACUCCUACGGGAGGCAGCAGUGGGGAAUAUUGCACAAUGGGCGCAAGCCUGAUGCAGCGACGCCGCGUGAGGGAUGACGGCCUUCGGGUUGUAAACCUCUUUCAGUAGGGACGAAGCGCAAGUGACGGUAGGUGCAGAAGAAGGACCGGCCAACUACGUGCCAGCAGCCGCAGUAA
rnacentral:rRNA from 1 species